AUUGAACGCUGGCGGCAGGCCUAACACAUGCAAGUCGAGCGAGCGGCGGACGGGUGAGUAAUGUAUGGGGACUGCCCGAUAGAGGGGGAUAACUACUGGAAACGGUGGCUAAUCACGCAUACUAUCGGAUAACCCAUAUGGGAUUAGCUAGUAGGUGGGGAAAAGGCUCACCUAGGCGACGAUCUCUAGCUGGUCUGAGAGGAUGAUCAGCCAGACUGGGACUGAGACGCGGCCCAGACGCCUACGGAGGCAGCAGUGGAGAAUAUUGCACGAUGGGCGCAAGCCGGAUGCAGCCAUGCCGCGUGUGUGAAGAAGGCCUUAGGGUUAGAAAGUACUUUCAGCGGGGAGGCGUUACCCGCAGGAGAAGCACCGGCUAACUCCGUGCCAGCAGCCGCGGUAAGUC
rnacentral:rRNA from 1 species